rnacentral:lncRNA from 1 species
UAAAGAGUGAACCUCACCUACGGAAGAACGUAGGUUAGACGAGGGAAGUACUCAAGAGUGAACCUCACCUACGGAAACGUAGGUUAGACGAGGGAUGUACUCAAAAGCGAACCCCACCUACGGAAGAACGUAGGUUAGACGGGGGACGCAUCGGCUAAAGAGUAAACCUCACCUACGGAAGAACGUAGGGAUGUACUCAAGAGUGAACCUCACCUACGGAAACGUAGGUUAGACGAGGGAUGUACUCAAAAGCGAACCCAACCUACGGAAGAACGUAGGUUAGACGGGGGACGCAUCGGCUAAAGAGUAAACCUCACCUACGGAAGAACGUAGGUAAGACGAGGGAUGUACUCAAGAGUGAACCUCACCUACGGAAACGUAGGUUAGACGAGGGAUGUACUCAAAAGCAAACCCCACCUACGGAAGAACGUAGGUUAGACGGGGGACGCAUCGGCUAAAGAGUAAACCUCACCUACGGAAGAACGUAGGUUAGACGAGGGAUGUACUCAAGAGUG